rnacentral:misc_RNA from 1 species
GCAAACUUGGUCAUUUAGAGGAAGUAAAAGUCGUAACAAGGUUUCCGUAGGUGAACCUGCGGAAGGAUCAUUAAUGAAUGAGGCCCUCCGGCCUCGAUCCCGUGCGUCUCCCGCUGUGCGCCCUGCUGCACGUGGGGGGAACAUGUGAUUCUCACACCUGUGCACCUCUGGAAACGGGAACUCGCUUCCCGAGUCUUGAUCACACACAAUUUGUAGUCUGGGAAGUCAUACUUAAUGAAAAAUACAACUUUCAACAACGGAUCUCUUGGCUCUCGCAUCGAUGAAGAACGCAGC